GUGACAGCCGCCGCGGUAAGACGGAGGGUGCAAGCGUUGUUCGGAAUUACUGGGCGUAAAGAGCGUGUAGGCGGUUGAUUAAGUCGGAUGUGAAAGCCCUUGGCUCAACCAAGGAAGUGCAUCCGAAACUGGUUGACUUGAGUACGGGAGAGGAGAGUGGAAUUCCUGGAGUAGAGGUGAAAUUCGUAGAUCUCAGGAGGAACACCGGUGGCGAAGGCGACUCUCUGGACCGAUACUGACGCUGAGACGCGAAAGCGUGGGGAGCAAACAGGAUUAGAUACCCUGGUAGUCC
rnacentral:rRNA from 1 species